AGGUGGCGAGCGUUGUCCGGAAUUAUUGGGCGUAAAGAGCAUGUAGGCGGUCUGCUAAGUCCAUGGUGAAAGCGUAGGGCUCAACCCCAUAUAGCCAUGGAUACUGACAGACUAGAGUACUGGAGAGGGUAGUGGAAUUCCAUGUGUAGCGGUAAAAUGCGUAGAUAUAUGGAGGAACACCGGUGGCGAAGGCGGCUACCUAGACAGAGACUGACGCUGAGGCACGAAAGCGUGGGGAGCAA
rnacentral:rRNA from 1 species